rnacentral:rRNA from 1 species
GACGAACGCUGGCGGCGUGCUUAACACAUGCAAGUCGAACGGAAAGGCCCUGCUUGCAGGGUACUCGAGUGGCGAACGGGUGAGUAACACGUGGGUGAUCUGCCCUGCACUUCGGGAUAAGCCUGGGAAACUGGGUCUAAUACCGGAUAGGAGCCAUUUUUAGUGUGAUGGUUGGAAAGUUUUUUCGGUGUAGGAUGAGCUCGCGACCUAUCAGCUUGUUGGUGGGGUAAUGGCCUACCAAGGCGGCGACGGGUAGCCGGCCUGAGAGGGUGGACGGCCACAUUGGGACUGAGAUACGGCCCAGACUCCUACGGGAGGCAGCAGCGGGGAAUAUUGCACAAUGGGCGCAAGCCUGAUGCAGCGACGCCGCGUGGGGGAUGACGGCCUUCGGGUUGUAAACUCCUUUCGCUAGGGACGAAGCUUUUUGUGACGGUACCUAGAUAAGAAGCACCGGCUAACUACGUG